AGGGCCGCCCGGCGCUCGGCAGCCGCCUGCAGCCCUCGGAGCGCAAGGAGAGGCGCCCACCCGGUAGCCUUGGCAGGUAGGCGGCGGCCGGGAGCGGGGCCGUGGCGGGUGGCGGGCCAGAGGGAUGUCCGGCUCGAGGACCCCGCGGGCGGCGUGCGAUGAGUGCGCACAAUGGGCCGCGGCGGGCUGAGGCGGCCCGGCCUGAGGACAGCGGCCUCGCCUCGCCCCGCGCCCUCAGCUUUGUCCUUCGGCGGUCGGGGGCGGGCGCGGCGCGGUGAGUGGCGGGCACGCGGGCCUAUGGCGCGGGGUCGAAGAAGGUGACGGCCGAGGGCAGAAGUGACAGGCCCCGGAGUCGCCGGCCUGCGCGCGCCACCGCCCGGACCCUCGCGGCCCGGCUUCCGGCCGGCGUCCCGGGAGCUCCCGGUGGACGCCGGGCCAGGGCUGAGCGCUUUGCGUAGAGGCCAGGACAGGGCGAGCAGUGGGGAGCAGACCCCGAACCUGGCAGCCCCUCCCUUCAGUGUUUGCCCUUCUGUAGACAAACCUUAAAGGUUUAACCAAGAAAAGUGAGAUGGGGGAUAAACGGGAGGGGGACAUGCGACUCCGGAGUCAUUUACUAAACGGGGUUCUUGGGUCUCAUCACCUGCUUUGCCUUGUUGCCCAAGUAACUGACAAUGCAUUUUGCGUUUCUGGUUCUUGGCUUGCUAAGGAAACGGUAGGAGAGGCUUGCCGAGGAGCCGGGGACGUGCAGUUUGGAUAACAGGUGAUGCCAUGGAAAAGCCUAUGCAGUGAAAACCCCACGCAAGAUUUCUGCCACCAGUAUAGGACCCGUUGCAUGACACUUUGUCGGUUUUAGAGACUUCAGAUUUAAAAGAAGGGGAAAAAUAUCUGUCACUCUGCAUUCUGAAGGUCAAAUAUUCGCCCGCAGAUGUUUUGGGCUGAACCAUUCUUAACUAGGUCUCAGGAUCUUUAUGACAAAAACCAUUCUGGAACUGUGCAUUUGAAAUACCCAUGGAGGCUUCUUGCAGUUGAUACUUAUUAUUGUAGAUUUAGUUGCUAUUCUUGCCAACUGAUGUACUUUUAAAACGUGUUCUUUCACAAGUUCAUUUAUAUAUCUCUAUAAUGUCCCUUUAUCAUAUUUCCCCACUAUCUUCUCUUAGACAAACAUUGAAUUAUAAUUAUAUAUUAAUGUGUGUGUUUGGGUGCAUGUAUAUUUAACGCGUGGAGGCCAGUGAUCAAUAUCAGAUGUUUUUUAUAAUUGUUUUAAAAAUAUUUAUUUGAUGUGUAUUGGUAUUUUACCUGCAUGUAUAUCUGUGUAAGGGUGUCAGAUCCCCUGGAACUGGAGUUACAUACAGUUGUGAGCCACUGUGCAGUUGCUAGGAAUUGAACCCCGGUCCUGUGGAAGACCGGCCCGUGCUCUUGAUCACGGAGCCAUCUCUCCAGCCCUCAGGUGUUACUUUUGAGAUAGGGUCUCACUAGGUAGAUUAGGCUGGCCAAGUACUUUAGAGCUAUGUCUGCCUCUGACUUUGAAAUGCUGGGAUUUGAGUCAUGGUCUCUCACUGAACCUGGAACUCACUAGUUCAGCAAGGGUGACUGGCCAGCAAGCCUCAGGGGUCCUCCCAUGUCAGCCUCCCCAUCGCUGGGACGCCACAAAUGUUUAAUCAUUUAAAAAGUAGUUAGGGCUGGAAAUGUAGCCCAGAUGAAGUCCGCUAUUAAAUUCUCAGAAUGUAAAACAAAAUAGGCCUUCAAAUUGACUGUAACAGGUUUUAUAUGAGCCUAUUUUCAUUAAGAAAGUAGGAGAGUUUUACUCUUAUUUAGUGUCAUAGAGAUACAUGUAUUGUUCUUUGAACAUAAGGGUAAAUAUUUUUAACAUGGCAACAUUUAACAAGGCAAAUUAAGAAUUUUAAAGAAUGAUUGAUUUGAUAUACAAAUUAUGAACAUUUAAAAAAGAAACUUAAUGGUGUUUUGCUUGCUCCCAUUUGUUGUGUAGCUCCAUCUGUGCCUGAUUUUAUCCCAGGGCUCUUUAAAAGUGUUGGACUUGCUCUUCUUCUUUUGUGUGGAAAUGCACCAAGCCUGAGCUUUGCCCCUGUUUUUUUGCAUCAUUUGACUUGGAGCAGCUAAUGGCCUCUGAGCUAGUUUUGUCAUCUGUGAAAUGGGAAGAAUGCUGAGACCUGCCUUGCAGGAUAGAGAGGCAGAGGGGGCGAUGUGAAGUAAUGUCAUCCUCACUCAAGCUCUUAAAAUGCCGCUUAGUGCUGAUAUGUCUGAGUCCUCAGAUUCCCCUGCAGGCUGGAAGCAGUCAGUUGUCUUCAGGCCACUGUUGCUUUCUCUCUACUUUGCCUGGUUUCCAGGAUUCUCUUUCCCAGACACAUGGCAGCCUCUGGUCCUGCAAGCGUCUAAGCACCUGGGAUUUGGAGCUUAGAGUACAGUUAUAAACGCAGUGUGGGAGGUCCCUGGCAGUGCAGUGCAGUCACCCUGUCCUGGCCAUCUCCUUUCCACAUUACCUUGUAAGACUACCGUUGCUCUGAUCACACCAAGCAGUUUCAGAUGUUCUUGAUUUAUACUCUUUCUUCUGAUUUGAGGGUCCCCCACUUCUGCUUUCUCUAGUUUCAAAAGAUUCUUAUAAGAUACUGUAUCCUCUCUGGAGCCUUUGGAAAUCCCUCAGAAUGAAUUCCUUCUUGCUGUAGGCCCUGUGGAUGGACGGCAUGCUUUUUCUUAAAAUGUUUCUUUUGUGGAAAUUAAAUAUAAAAUAUUGCUUUCAAGAAGACUUAUUAACUCGUUAGUACUGGAUUGGAAAGACUGGAGUUACAUUCCAGCCCCCCUCUUGCUUCCUGGGUCACUGUGGGCAAGCUUGUUAUAUCUCGUGACCUUCAGUCUCUGUGAAACGAGAAGUCUCAUCUUCUGUAUGUCUUUUGCUUUGUAGUGAGCUGGCAUCUAGGGGUUGAACUCAGGUUUCCAGGCUGGCUUGGCAAAUGCCUUUAUCUACCAAGCCAUCUUACUGGCCCUGAGAGCGGUUUUGAUUACCGGAUUUUUUUUUUAAAGAAAGAUUUAUUUUUAUUUAUAUGCAUGUAUAUGCAUAUUUUUCCCUUAGAGACCAGAAGGUGGUGUUGGAUUUCUUUGGAGCCAUAGUUCCGGGCAGUUGUGAUCUGCCUGACUUGGGAGCUGGGAUCUGAACUCUAGUCCUCCUGAAGAGCAGUGAGUAUAAUUACUUAACUGCUGAGCCCAGGCAUCAGAUUUUUCCCAGCUCUGUAUUCAUGCUUUUGUUGUUCCUGCUCCCCUCUUUUUUUCUUUUUCUUAUAGUGUUCAGGAUUAAACCCUGGGGCAUCAUGUAUUCUAGACAAGCACUCUACCAACCCACUUACAUCCCCUGCCCCUCUAUGCACUUUUUAAUCUACCUUCCUUGAAUGCUUUCUUGCCUGGUUCCCCUGCUCUACCCUCUGAAGCUAUUGCUGGCCUCUAGGAAAGAAUGUACACUCUUCCCUUCACUAAGAGGCAGUAUAGAAAGGGUUAAGAAUGUACCCUAAAAGCACUGCCGCCUGUGUUUAUUCUUUUAGUUAUGUCUGAAACUAUAUGCCUUCUUGUACUUCACAUGCCAGGCAGCUCCCAGAACACCCUCUGGGAGGAAAGUUCUGUUCUGGCUUCCGGUUCUGAGAACUCAGUCCAUCACGACAGAGGAUAGAUAUGGUAGCUUAGAGAACUCAACCUAACGGAAGCCAGGAAACAGAGAAAGACAGACAAAGGGCAGAGACAGACACACAAAGAACCUGCCUCCAGCCACCUACUUCUUUCUACUAAGUUUCACCUUCUGAUGUUUUUAGCACCUUCAAAAAUAGUGCCCUCAGCUGGUGACCAAAUGUUCAAAUAAGCCCAAGGGGCACAUUUCAGAUUUACAGCUUUCCACCCUGGGCCCCAAAAUGUAUUUGUAUAUUUACUCUAUCUCAAGAGUCCCCAAUGUAUUAUAUUUCAACAUUGCUCAAAAGUCCAAAGUCUCUUCUAAGACUUGAGGCAAUAUCUCAGCUAUAUGAGUUCCUG
rnacentral:lncRNA from 1 species